ACAACUUUUAACAACGGAUCUCUUGGUUCUCGCAUCGAUGAAGAACGUAGCAAAGUGCGAUAACUAGUGUGAAUUGCAUAUUCAGUGAAUCAUCGAGUCUUUGAACGCAUCUUGCGCUCAAUGGUAUUCCAUUGAGCACGCCUGUUUCAGUAUCAACAACAACCCACAUCCACAAUUUUGCUGUGAAUGGAAUUGAGAAUUUUCGGAUUUAUUUUUUAAGCUGAGUUCUUUAAAACUAUUAGGCCUGAACUAUUGUUCUUUUUAGCCUGAACAUUUUUUUAAUAUAAAGGAAUGCUCUAGUUAUACAAGACUAUCUUGGGGGCCUCCCAAAUAAAUCUCUUUUUUUUUAAACUUGAUCUGAAAUCAGGUGGGAUUACCCGCUGAACUUAAGCAUAUCAAUAAGCGGAGGAAAAGAAAAUAACAAUGAUUUCCCUAGUAACGGCGAGUGAAGAGGAAAGAGCUCAAAGUUGGAACCUGUUUGGCUUAGCUAAACCGGAUUGUAAACUGUAGAAGUGUUUUCCAGACACGCCUGGUAAAAAAGUCCUUUGGAACAGGGCAUCAUAGAGGGUGAGAAUCCCGUCAUUGGCCAGAGCUGUUGUCUUUUGUGAUACAUUUUCAAAGAGUCAGGUUGUUUGGGAAUGCAGCCUAAAUUGGGUGGUAAAUCUCACCUAAAGCUAAAUAUUUGCGAGAGACCGAUAGCGAACAAGUACCGUGAGGGAAAGAUGAAAAGAACUUUGAAAAGAGAGUUAAACAGUAUGUGAAAUUGUUAAAAGGGAACCGUUUGGAGCCAGACUGGCUUAAUCGUAAUCACUCUAGGCUUUGGCCUGGAUGCACUUGCGGUUUAUGCCGGCCAACGACAGUUUUGUUUGAGGGAAAAAAUUACAUUGAAUGUGGCCCCUCGGGGUGUUAUAGCUUUGUAAAAAAUACCUUGGACGGGACUGAGGAACGCAGCUUCGCUUAGGUUGUUGGCUUAAUGACUCUAAAUGACCCGUCUUGAAACACGGACCAAGGAGUCCACCAUUAGUGCAAGUAUUUGGGUGACAAACCCAUAUGCGCAAGGAAACUGAUUGAUACGAAGGCGCAAGCUGGCAGUAUCACCCGGCGUUGACGUUUUAUACUGAACUGACCGAGGUAAAGCACUAAUGAUGGGACCCGAAAGAUGGUGAACUAUGCCUGAAUAGGGUGAAGCCGGAGGAAACUCCGGUGGAGGCUCGUAGCGAUUCUGACGUGCAAAUCGAUCGUCAAAUUUGGGUAUAGG
rnacentral:rRNA from 2 species